AGGGUUUGAUCCUGGCUCAGAUUGAACGCUGGUGGUAUGCUUAACACAUGCAAGUCGAACGGUAACAUUGGAGCUUGCUCCAGAUGACGAGUGGCGGACGGGUGAGUAACGCGUAGGAAUCUGCCUAGUAGUGGGGGACAACAUGUGGAAACGCAUGCUAAUACCGCAUACGCCCUACGGGGGAAAGCGGGGGAUCUUCGGACCUCGCGCUAUUAGAUGAGCCUGCGUUAGAUUAGCUUGUUGGUGGGGUAAUGGCCUACCAAGGCGACGAUCUAUAGCUGGUCUGAGAGGACGAUCAGCCACACUGGGACUGAGACACGGCCCAGACUCCUACGGGAGGCAGCAGUGGGGAAUAUUGGACAAUGGGCGCAAGCCUGAUCCAGCAAUACCACGUGUGUGAAGAAGGCCUGAGGGUUGUAAAGCACUUUCAAUUGGGAGGAAAACAGCUGGGUUAAUAGCCCUGCUCUUGACAUUACCUUUAGAAGAAGCACCGGCUAACUCCGUGCCAGCAGCCGCGGUAAUACGGAGGGUGCGAGCGUUAAUCGGAAUUACUGGGCGUAAAGCGUACGUAGGCGGUUAUUUAAGUCAGAUGUGAAAGCCCCGGGCUC
rnacentral:rRNA from 1 species